GCCGCGUGUGUGAAGAGGCCUGAGGGUUGUAAGCACUUUCAGUGGGGAGGAGGGUUCAUAGGUUAAGAGCUGGAUAAGUGGACGUUACCCACAGAAGAAGCACCGGCUAACUCCGUGCCAGCAGCCGCGGUAAUACGGAGGGUGCGAGCGUUAAUCGGAAUUACUGGGCGUAAAGGGUGCGUAGGUGGUUUAGUAAGUUAUCUGUGAAAUCCCUGGGCUCAACCUGGGCAGGUCAGAUAAUACUGGUUAACUCGAGUAUGGGAGAGGGUAGUGGAAUUUCCGGUGUAGCGGUGAAAUGCGUAGAGAUCGGAAGGAACACCAGUGGCGAAGGCGGCUACCUGGCCUAAUACUGACACUGAAGCACGAAAGCGUGGGGAGCAAACAGGAUUAGAUACCCUGGUAGUCCACGCCGUAAACGAUGUCAACUAGCUGUUGG
rnacentral:rRNA from 1 species